GCCGAGCCCAAUCAACUAGAUUUUGUUCCUUACUUGGUCUGGUCUUGUCAACAGACUUCCUUCCGGUCAAUAGUUCUAGGAGUACUACACCAAAACUGUAAACAUCGCUUCUUGCAGUAAGGUGUCCUGUGUCCACAACAUGUUACACAACUUGUGUCAGGUAUGCCAAACAUCAAAUAGUACUUACACAAUGAUCCCUAAUUUUGCCUCCCAAAUUUGGAUUAAAAUAUAUACAUCAGACAGAUUGAGUACUGGUAGGAUACUUCAUACAGUUACAUGUCAAUAAAUUUGAACUUUAGGAUCUUAGAUCAAGAGUCAGAUAUGUCCAUAGUUCUCCAAUGGGAAACAAUGAUAUGUGUUGAUCAUAUGGAAUCUUCUUCAGGAACCGACACCAAUACUAUUGCGCAGAUAGAGCACUGACUUCAACACCAGACAAAAAUCUAGUUUGGUUUUUGAAGUACUGAAGCACCAAAAUGGUUAUAGUAGAAUAGAAGGUUCUGGAAAUAUCUUAACAAGUUACACCUUUAUCCGAAAAUGCUGUCGAUGGAACCUAAGUUACUUUUAGUCGUCCCUUUUAUAUUUUCCAGGUAAAACAGUACUUGGGAACCAUCCUGGAUCUAUCAUAAGAAACUAGCAUGAUAAAAUCUCUGCGGAGCUAGAGUCAUGUGCUGAAAAUAGUAUAGAGCUUCUACGAACCAGCCCAAGAAGGGGCAAGGGUUCUUGAAUCCACAAUUGGAACAGAUUAAUACUGUACUUUUUCUUUGGAUUGAAUAGCCUUAACCCGAUUAAGAUCUUCAAUUGACUUCAGAGGGUGGUAGCAGAACACAAAUCUACAUACCACAAGCAAUAAGUUCUCUUAUUUUUUACAUGUAAGCUGUUUCUUUAUCAACUCUUUAUUUUUCUCUUUUCCAACUUUGGAUUGUUUAGAGCAUUGUAGUUUUAAGUCCGAAUUGGAUAAUCAAACAAACCAGUCAUAACCCUUUUUUGGAGGAUUGGGGAGCAGGGUUAGUACUUACCAGUCAUAACAUAUUCCGGAGCUGCAUAACCAUAGGUACCCAUCACCCGAGUUGAGACAUGAGUCUCGUCACCUUGUGGCCCUGCUUUUGCAAGCCCGAAAUCAGAUAGUUUGGCCGUAUAAUC
rnacentral:lncRNA from 1 species